AUGAACGCUAGCGACAGGCUUAACACAUGCAAGUCGAGGGGCAGCGGGGAGGCAGGCUUGCCUGCCUCCGCCGGCGACCGGCGCACGGGUGAGUAACACGUAUGCAACCUGGCCCGCGGACGGGGAUAACCCGGUGAAAACCGGACUAAUACCCGGCGACGCCCGGAGGGGGCAUCCCCUCCGGGCCGAAGGAAGGAAUUCCGCCGCGGGAUGGGCAUGCGGCGCAUUAGGCAGUUGGCGGGGUAACGGCCCACCAAACCGGCGAUGCGUAGGGGUUCUGAGAGGAAGGUCCCCCACACUGGAACUGAGACACGGUCCAGACUCCUACGGGAGGCAGCAGUGAGGAAUAUUGGUCAAUGGGCGGAAGCCUGAACCAGCCAAGUCGCGUGAGGGAGUGAGGCCCUGCGGGUCGUAAACCUCUUUUGCCGGGGAGCAGUGCCGCCCACGCGUGGGCGGAGGGAGAGUACCCGGAGAAAAAGCAUCGGCUAACUCCGUGCCAGCAGCCGCGGUAAUACGGAGGAUGCGAGCGUUAUCCGGAUUUAUUGGGUUUAAAGGGUGCGCAGGCGGCGCCCCAAGUCAGCGGUCAAAUCGAGGGGCUCAACCCCUUUCCGCCGUUGAAACUGGGGGGCUAGAGUGGGCGAGAAGUAGGCGGAACGCGUGGUGUAGCGGUGAAAUGCAUAGAUAUCACGCAGAACCCCGAUUGCGAAGGCAGCCUACCGGCGCUCUACUGACGCUCAUGCACGAAAGCGCGGGGAUCGAACAGGAUUAGAUACCCUGGUAGUCCGCGCAGUAAACGAUGAAUGCCCGCCGUCCGGCACGAUUGGGUGCUGGGGGGCCAAGCGAAAGCGUUAAGCAUUCCACCUGGGGAGUACGCCGGCAACGGUGAAACUCAAAGGAAUUGACGGGGGCCCGCACAAGCGGAGGAACAUGUGGUUUAAUUCGAUGAUACGCGAGGAACCUUACCCGGGCUCAAACGCCUCAGGAACGCCCGCCGAAAGGCGGGCGGUCUUCGGACCUGAGGCGAGGUGCUGCAUGGUUGUCGUCAGCUCGUGCCGUGAGGUGUCGGCUUAAGUGCCAUAACGAGCGCAACCCCCACCGACAGUUGCCAUCCGGUCAAGCGGGGCACUCUGUCGGGACUGCCGGCGCAAGCCGCGAGGAAGGCGGGGAUGACGUCAAAUCAGCACGGCCCUUACGUCCGGGGCGACACACGUGUUACAAUGGCGGGUACAGCGGGAAGCCACCUGGCGACAGGGAGCGGAACCCGAAAUCCCGUCUCAGUUCGGAUCGGAGUCUGCAACCCGACUCCAUGAAGCUGGAUUCGCUAGUAAUCGCGCAUCAGCCACGGCGCGGUGAAUACGUUCCCGGGCCUUGUACACACCGCCCGUCAAGCCAUGAAAGCCGGGGGUACCUGAAGUGCGUAACCGCAAGGAGCGCCCUAGGGUAAAACUGGUGAUUGGGGCU
rnacentral:rRNA from 1 species